rnacentral:rRNA from 1 species
UACGUAGGGACCAAGCGUUGUUCGGAUUUACUGGGCGUAAAGGGCGCGGUAGGCGGCAUGACAAGUCACUUGUGAAAUCUCUGGGCUUAACCCAGAACGGACCAAGUGAUACUGUCGCGCUAGAGUGCAGAAGGGGCAAGUCGGAAUUCUCGGUGUAGCGGUGAAAUGCGUAGAUAUCGAAGAGGAACGACCAGAGGGUGAAGACGGGUUGCUGGGGCUGACACGUGACGCUGGAGGCGCGAAAGCCCAGGGGAGCAAACGGG